GAUAACUACUGGAAACGGUAGCUAAUACCGCAUAACGUCGCAAGACCAAAGAGGGGGACCUUCGGGCCUCUUGCCAUCGGAUGUGCCCAGAUGGGAUUAGCUUGUUGGUGGGGUAACGGCUCACCAAGGCGACGAUCCCUAGCUGGUCUGAGAGGAUGACCAGCCACACUGGAACUGAGACACGGUCCAGACUCCUACGGGAGGCAGCAGUGGGGAAUAUUGCACAAUGGGCGCAAGCCUGAUGCAGCCAUGCCGCGUGUAUGAAGAAGGCCUUCGGGUUGUAAAGUACUUUCAGCGGGGAGGAAGGGAGUAAAGUUAAUACCUUUGCUCAUUGACGUUACCCGCAGAAGAAGCACCGGCUAACUCCGUGCCAGCAGCCGCGGUAAUACGGAGGGUGCAAGCGUUAAUCGGAAUUACUGGGCGUAAAGCGCACGCAGGCGGUUUGUUAAGUCAGAUGUGAAAUCCCCGGGCUCAACCUGGGAACUGCAUCUGAUACUGGCAAGCUUGAGUCUCGUAGAGGGGGGUAGAAUUCCAGGUGUAGCGGUGAAAUGCGUAGAGAUCUGGAGGAAUACCGGUGGCGAAGGCGGCCCCCUGGACGAAGACUGACGCUCAGGUGCGAAAGCGUGGGGAGCAAACAGGAUUAGAUACCCUGGUAGUCCACGCCGUAAACGAUGUCGACUUGGAGGUUGUGCCCUUGAGGCGUGGCUUCCGGAGCUAACGCGUUAAGUCGACCGCCUGGGGAGUACGGCCGCAAGGUUAAAACUCAAAUGAAUUGACGGGGGCCCGCACAAGCGGUGGAGCAUGUGGUUUAAUUCGAUGCAACGCGAAGAACCUUACCUGGUCUUGACAUCCACGGAAGUUUUCAGAGAUGAGAAUGUGCCUUCGGGAACCGUGAGACAGGUGCUGCAUGGCUGUCGUCAGCUCGUGUUGUGAAAUGUUGGGUUAAGUCCCGCAACGAGCGCAACCCUUAUCCUUUGUUGCCAGCGGUCCGGCCGGGAACUCAAAGGAGACUGCCAGUGAUAAACUGGAGGAAGGUGGGGAUGACGUCAAGUCAUCAUGGCCCUUACGACCAGGGCUACACACGUGCUACAAUGGCGCAUACAAAGAGAAGCGACCUCGCGAGAGCAAGCGGACCUCAUAAAGUGCGUCGUAGUCCGGAUUGGAGUCUGCAACUCGACUCCAUGAAGUCGGAAUCGCUAGUAAUCGUGGAUCAGAAUGCCACGGUGAAUACGUUCCCGGGCCUUGUACACACCGCCCGUCACACCAUGGGAGUGGGUUGCAAAAGAAGUAGGUAGCUUAACCUUCGGGAGGGCGCUUACCACUUUGUGAUUCAUGACUGGGGUGAAGUCGUAACAAGGUAACCGUAGGGGAACCUGCGGUUGGAUCACCUCCUUA
rnacentral:rRNA from 1 species